AGAGUAGGUUAACUGCGGUAUAGUCAAACAACAGAAUGCUUUACAAAGGCAAUUAGGAGGAAUUAAACACAAGAUUUUAUCAAAUCCAAUCUAUCACAAUUUAAGAAGCGUCGUAAUUUCUCAGAUGUUAAAUCAUGAAAAAGUAGAACAUGUAGUAAAUAUAGCUAUACCUCAAAGACAGAGUAUUAGGGAAAAACGGGUUUCAAAUUAUAGAUACAACGGAUUUUUCCCAUAAAAUUAAAAAAAUAUACAAAAUAGCCCUCUGUACUUUUUUAAGUAUACAUAUGUAAGAAGAGAAUGAAAACAUACAUGGGAAUGGUACACAUUAAUAUCAGGAUAGUUAUUUCUUAGUGAAGAAAGGGGGAAGAAUGAAAAAAGGUCAAAUUUUAGCUGCAUCUCUUAGUAUUUCCUUCCUUCCUCCUUCCUGCCUGCCCACCUUCCAUCCUUUCUCUUUUUGCUUUUUAGGGUCACACCUGCGGCACAUGGAAGUUUCCGGAUCAUUAACCCACUACGCAAGGCCAAGGACUGAACCCACGUCCCCAUGGAUACUAGUCGGGUUCCUUACCACUGAGCAACAAUAGGAACUCCCUUAUUUCUUAUUAAAAAAGAAAAAAGGAAAGCAUCUUUUACAUAAAGUGAGUUUCUCUACCCCAUGAAAGGACAGACACAAAUGCACUCACUCUAUAACACUAUUCUGGAAUGUUUAUUCUUAAAAGACAAAGAAACAUUGCUUGUUAAACAUUCCUGAGAGAUUUUAUUGCUCACCUUCAGAGAGGAGAGAGAACGCGCGCGCGCGCGCGCGCGUGCGUGUGUGUGUGUGUGUGUGUGUGUGUGUGUGCAGUUUUUACUUGAAAAUUGAAAAAAUAAAAUGAAAAAAUGUGCCAUGCACAAUAUAAAAUGUGAGCUCUAUCAAGAUUUUGGGAAAUAAACAAUUACUACAUUAUAUAAACUGAAAAUAUAUCUAUUUUUUCCCACAGAAAAAUGGGGACAGCGUUCCAACACACUCUAAAGGCUAGCAAAACCCUUCAUACCAAUACUGGAGUAAGGAAAACACACAACAACAACAAAGUAACAAACCAAUCUCAAUACUCAACAUGAAUGAAUAAUAUAAGGAUACUGAGUGAAAUGUUAUUAGCACUCUGAGUCUAGCAGUAUGACCAAACUGGGUUAAUCCUACCAAAGCAAGGAUGAUUCUAUAUAUGAAAUCUAUUCAUAUAAUUCGUUACACUGAUAGCACACACACAUAUAUAUAUUUAAAACAUUAACUGCCAUGCAAACAUGGGAUUCAACACACAUUCCAGAUUUUAUUUUUCUUUUUUAGUAACCCUGAUUAAACAGAAAUAGAAACUUUCUCAAACUGAAAAAGGACAGGGUGCUUUCCAUUUAACAAUGCUCUGGAAGUGCCAACCAACAUAAUUAGACCAGAAAAACAUGACAUAUAGUAGCGGAACAAUCUGAAACACCAGCAAAACUGUUUAAGAGAGUGUUCUGUAUCUAACAAAUCCAAGAGAAUUAACCGAAAACCUAGUACAACUAAUAAAAGCUCAGCAAAGUGGCUGCAAAUAUAACACAGCAGGCACAACCAGUCAGAUAACAGAAUAACAAUAACAAUGUUAGCAAUAACAACAAAAUCCAUAAAGUAUCUUUUUGAAGAGGUAAAGCCUAUUCUUAUGAAGAAAAUAGCAAAAUUAUAUUGAAAGGAAGGACUUCAAAAAAACUUAUCUCAGUGGGUCGACUCGAUAUUGUAAAGAUGUUGAUAUUCUGUAAGGGGAAAUAACAAGAAUAGCAAAGAAUAACACAUAAGACAUUGUUAAAAUUAAAAUUAAGGGGAAAAUUUCAGACUAAAUAUAAAAACUUAUUAUAUAGGUUUAGUAAUCACAUUAGAUAUUGGUACAGGCAAAGACAAAGAGAUCAAUGAAACAUGAGUCCAAAACCAGGUCCAAGGAGAUAAAGAUCUUUACUUCAUGAUAAUAUACGGCAAUUCAAACCAGUGGUUAUAAAACAAACCAUACAAUAAACUGUGUUAAGAAAAGUAAGUAUACACUUAGGACAAAAUUGAGUUGGACCACAAUUAUGCACAACAGACAAAAGUAAUACCCCGAUGGAUUAAAUGAUCUAAUGUUUAAAAACAAGUACAUGUAUUAGAAUAUGUGUUAGAAGAAGAAAAUAUUUUCAAAAUCUUGUAGUAAGCACAAAACUCAGAGGCCACAAUGAAAAAUACUGACAGCUAUAAUCUCACAAAGAGGAAGAACUCCUGUACUAUGUGACAGAAGACACCAUUUAAAACAAGCUUAAAGAUAAGGGACUCACUAGCGGAUAUCUCGCAUAUAUUUAACAGGCAGGUGAAUAACGUGAGAAUACAUAGAGAGCUCAUGGAAGGGUGGCAAACUCACUGGUAGCAUAUAUGCUAGUCCAAAAUUGCAGUACCUUUUUCUUUUUUGUAACAAAAUGUAUCAGGGUGUGGAUAAAGUCUCUAACCCAGGCCUACCUCCUCCUUUUUCACCCGGAGAUAACCACAAUACUAAAAAGACAAGGAGGUAAAUAGAAAAAUGGGAAAGAAUAUGAACAAGUAGAAAGAACCAAUCAAAAGGAAAAAUGUUUCAUUUGUAACUGGCAAAAUGCAAAUGAAAACAAAGUAAUUUUAUAACCGCAGGACUGACAGAAAUUAAAAGCAGUACUGAUUGGUAGACUUUUGGGAAAGUCAUUUGGCAGAAUCAAAGGGAACUCCACGAUUCUCUGCCUAGAAACUAUUUCUUAUAGGAAAUCUGGCACUUCAGCACAAAGAAAUACAUAGGAAAGAUCAUUUUACUGUACUGUUUGUAACAGUGAAAAAUGUAAAUACCCCAAAUGCCCAUCUAAAUAGAAGCGUGAUUAAAUAAAUCAUGGCAUAUCUAUACAAUGAAUCUUACACAAUUACUAAUAGGGUAAGAUAAACCCACAUGUGCUGACAGCUUUAUAAAAACAUUAAGUAGAGGAAAAGGUUGUAGAAAGGUACAGUAUGGUCCCACUUGGAUAAAACAGAGGACAUACAGGUAUAUACGAGUGAGAAACUUAGACCUGAAAUCCUGAUCUAGUGAACCAAAAGAUGAUUUUUGUGUUUUGCCCUGAAUGCCUAUGUUGUUUCUAGCUCCUUUCUUUUUUAUUUUAUUUCUAUUUCUAAGGCUGUACCUAUGGCAUAUGGAAGUUGCCCGGCUAGGAGUUGAAUCAGAGCUGCAGCUGGGGUCUAUGCUGCAGCUUGCGGCAACACCAGUUCCUUAACCCACUGAGUGAGGCCAGGGAUCAAACCUGCCAGCUCACAGACACGAUGUUGGUCUAAGCCACAACGGGAACUCCUCUACCUCCUUUCUAUGGGAAAGUAUUUAGGAAGUACCUGUGUGAGGUUUUACAUCAGAAAAGAUGUUCAACUGACUGUUACUUAACGUGAAUGUUGUCUUGCUUACCUGAGUAACAGAACUACAGAACUCAGUUCUAACAAUUACUAGUUAUGAACACUUUGAAGCUCGAGGACAAGGUAAUUGCUUCUUCAGAGCAAACUACUAAGCUAAGCUAAUCUUAGAGUUAACUAACGGAAUUCCCUGUUCAUAGUCCUUUCAACUGUAUUACACACCCUUCUAAAGCUGUCAUGUUUAAAGGCCUAAUAGAGCCCCAGCUUUCUUCUUUUGCUCCCAAAUGAGCAUAUCUGGUACACACCUAACCUUGAAACAUUCACACACCACCUUGAAGGGGCUAAUGGUAUUAUCAUCUCUCUGGGAUUCUUACGCAUAACUACAGGCACUCAAGAGGCAUAAUGCAGACUAGUGAACCUAGUUACUCAUCCACUCAAGAAUGUAAAUUAUGUAAAGGAAAUGAAAUUACAUUUUCAACCAUUGCUUUCUAAGAUCUCGGUCUGAAGCAUAAAUAGAAAGCAGUGUUGGUUUAAGUAAACUAUUUGAAUUCCGGUCCAAAUCAAUGGCAUAAGCAUUAUUUCAGACCAUCAACUCUGACUGGCUCUCCUCUUUGACCUCUGGGCAACACUGUAAAAUGUCGAUAGGACUCACUUCUUACAAUGUAGGCAAACAAGUAACAGAGUAUCCCAUAAAAUGUGGCUAAUACUAUGUGAUUGCCUUGACUAGGAGAUGCCAACACAACUUGAGAAUUACGUCAAUACUUCUUCAGGAUUUAUUAAUAUUUAUUCCAUCAAUGUCAGUUUGAUGACUAAUAUUUGAGGUAGUAGAGAAAGGGCACAGCUUUGGAGUAAAACAGAUGUGAUCAACUCCUAAGUCAUCACUUCAGAGAAGAGGAAUCUCAAGGAAACCACAAUCUGUGACCCUCAAUUCCCUCAUUUGUUAAAGGACCUACCAUCAAUCACUACAGUGAGGACUGCAUGAGAUGACAGUAUUUUGUGAAGCUUUUAGUAAGGUUAUCUGGCACAACACAUGAUCAGAUUCCUUCAUCUUAAAUCGAACAAUUUUUAAUGUCUGUUAUUCAUCUACAUUUUAAGGCUGUAAAGUUUAGAUUUAUUCAACAGUUUUGAGUACUAACUGCACUAGGCACUGUGAUGAGUGCUAGAGCCAAACUAGUAAACAAAAAGACCAAUUCUGUCUUCAUGCAGUUUACAAUGUUGGACAUAGUGGGAUAGGCAUUAAUCGGAUACCCCAAAUGCCAACUGUGCUAAGCUCUAUAAGAAGUAAGCUAAGAGGACACAGAACAGCGGGGUUUGCCCUGAUCAGAGAAAUCUAUAAAGGCUUCCUUAGGGAAAAUCCUUACUUGUAGUGUGAAUAGGAAACAACUAGAUAUAGCAGAAAAAAGGAAGAAUGCUCCAUGCAGAAAGAAUAGACUUUUGCUUUAUCUUUUGGAUGUCUAUAUACCUUUAAAUGCACCCUAAUAGCUUGUGCCUCUGGCAAUCAGGUACACGGGGACUGAAAGAAUGGUGCAGCUGACACAGACUAAGAAGAAAAGACUGGCUAGACAGGAGUGACCAAAGAUGCAGAGCUCUGUAGGUCACAUGCUAAACGCAAUGGUGAAGUGUUAAAGGGUUUGUAUGUAGGGUUUGCUGUUGCUGCUGCUGAUGGGAUCACUGUAUUUCACAAUAGUCUGGCUACACUGUGAAAAUGAAUUUGAGGUCAGGCAAGAGUAAACGUGAGCAGAUGAGUUUGGAUGCAAAGAAAUGAGAACUUAAAGAAGAUGCAAUGGUGAAAAUAUUAGAAAAAUUCCAGGGAUAAUCAGAAGGUAAAGUCAAGAGGACUUGACGACAGACUGGUUAUGAUUCUAAGAAAGAGGAGGAGUUGGAAGCAAUUUCUAGAUUGCUGAUUUAUAUUACUAGCUAAAUGAUAGUUCUAUUUUCAGAGAUAUGAAAAUGAGCAGAAACAGGAAGGAAAGGUUAUGUACUCAGUUUUAGACGUGUGGGUCCAAAGAAUUUUUUUAAUUAAAAAAAUAAUUUUUUAAAAAAAGGCCCAGAUCAUGCUACUCUUCUACUUAAGUCCUACAAUGGAUUCCCAUCAAACUUUGGAAAAAACACUUGAGAAGCAUACAGGCAUGAUCUGGCUCUGCUAUCUUCUGACUUUCUCUCCUACUCUGGUUGCUUUCACUCCAGAAACAUUGCCUUCUUGAAAUACCUGAUGGACUCAUUCUUCCCUAAGGACUUCUGUACUUACAUCUUCCCUCUGCCUAUAAUCUUUCCCCUCAUGCAGCUGGAUCCCUCACUUAAUGAAAGUCUAUGAUCAGAUGUCACCUCCUCAGAGAACCUUCUAUGACUAUACUCUGUAAAACAGCCUUCCUACUGAGAGGCUAGCUGGAGAAAAAAGCUGAAUGAAAUCCGCAGUCUUGCUAUGCUAAAGGGAAAGGCCCUACACGUAAUACAAGUCUUAGUCUGAAGACUUCUGAACCUAACAAAACCUGCAGUUCAAGCC
rnacentral:lncRNA from 1 species